UCGCCAUCAGAUGGGCCCGCGUCGGAUUAGCUAGUUGGUGGGGUAAUGGCCUACCAAGGCGACGAUCCGUAGCUGGUCUGAGAGGAUGAUCAGCCACACUGGGACUGAGACACGGCCCAG
rnacentral:rRNA from 1 species